rnacentral:lncRNA from 1 species
GAGAUUUCAUUCAUUCAUGGUUCAUUCAUUCAUGUAACCAACAUUUCUGAGCAUGGCACUUCUGGUGUGCCAGGUGCUGGGACACAGAGUUGAAUUAGACCACUGUCCCUUGGCCUUGAAGAGUUUAUUUACUCAUUCACUCAGCAGCAUUCACCAAGCCCUACUGUGUGCAUUGGUUGGGCAAGGGGUGGUGUUGGGGGUAGAGUGAGCGUUGCUGGCAGGGGGAGCCGGGGUGGAUGUGAAGCAGCCCACAGGUCAGGCCUCCAUAUCUGGAAAGAGCAGGAACCCGGAAAAGAUGCUGUUGGUUCCCUCGAGAGCUGGCGUGGUAG